rnacentral:rRNA from 1 species
UGCGAGUUGAAUGGGAUACCUAAAAUUCCCAUAGCAAACUGCUCAGUAACACAUGAUCAACUUACCCUAUAGAGAAAAAUAACCUCGGGAAACUGAGGAUAAUGUUUCAUAAUUGAAUUGGCUUGGAAAAGUUUUUCAAUGAAAAGGAUAAAAAAAAUGGUUUUUAUCUGCUAUAGGAUAGGAUCGUGUUCGAUUAUGGUUGUUGGUGAGAUAAUGGCUCACCAAGCCGAUAAUCGAUAGGGGCCGUGAGAGCGGGAGCCCCGAGAUGGGUACUGAGACAACGACCCAGGCCUUACGAGGCGCAGCAGGCGCGGAACCUCCGCAAUACACGAAAGUGUGACGGGGUUACCCAAAGUGUUCAAUAGAACUGUGGUAGGUGAGUAAUGUUCCCUACUAGAAAGGAGAGGGCAAGGCUGGUGCCAGCCGCCGCGGUAAAACCAGCUCUUCAAGUGGUCGGGAUAAUUAUUGGGCUUAAAGUGUCCGUAGCCGGUUUAGUAAGUUCCUGGUAAAAUCGGGUAGCUUAACUAUCUGCAUGCUAGGAAUACUGCUAUACUAGAGGGCGGGAGAGGACUGAGGUACUACAGGGGUAGGGGUGAAAUCUUAUAAUCCUUGUAGGACCACCAGUGGCGAAGGCGUCAGACUGGAACGCGCCUGACGGUGAGGGACGAAAGCCAGGGGAGCGAACCGGAUUAGAUACCCGGGUAG